rnacentral:tRNA from 1 species
GCACGUAUGGCGGAACUGGUAGACGCGCAGGCUUGAGGGGCUUGUGUCCGUAAGGACGUGCAAGUUCGAUUCUUGUUACGUGCA